rnacentral:rRNA from 1 species
UCCAGACUCCUACGGGAGGCAGCAGUGAGGAAUAUUGGUCAAUGGCCGGAAGGCUGAACCAGCCAAGCCGCGUGAAGGACGAAGGUGCCAAGCAUUGUAAACUUCUUUUGUCAAGGGACAAAAUCAGGCUCGAGAGCCUGACCGAGGGUACUUGAAGAAAAAGCAUCGGCUAACUCCGUGCCAGCAGCCGCGGUAAUACGUAGGGGGCGAGCGUUAUCCGGAAUUACUGGGUGUAAAGGGAGCGUAGACGGCGAGGUAAGCCUGAAGUGGAAGCCCGCGGCCCAACCGCGGAACUGCUUUGGGAACUGUUUUGCUGGAGUAUGGGAGGGGUAAGCGGAAUUCCUGGUGUAGCGGUGAAAUGCGUAGAUAUCAGGAGGAACACCGGUGGCGAAGGCGGCUUACUGGACUGUAACUGACGUUGAGGCUCGAAAGCGUGGGGAGCAAACAGGAUUAGAUACCCCCGUACA